rnacentral:lncRNA from 1 species
GAGUGGGAAGAAGAGGGAGCUUGGAGAAGCUUUGAGCAGGUCCUGAAUAGGCAAGUGAGGGGCUUGCCUUAACCCUACAGGAUUCUCAGUCUCCACGUCUACCUCCCACAACAUGUGCAAAUGCUUACAUUCAUGGUGGGUUUCUCCCUCUCCCUUGGAUCCCCAAAGCAGCAAGAGCUGGUGUGGAGCACUCCCCAGUCUAGGCUGGGGGACGCAAGGAGAAGCCAUCCUCACAGCAGUCUCUUCCUGAGAGAUGCUAAGGCGGUGGAGAGACUGCAUAAUGUGCCUUUCCAGGGGGUGUUUCUCUCUAUUGAUUAUUUGAACUGUUAAACUUGAUUACAUUUUACUUUAAUUGUACCAUUUGAAAUUAGAUUCAGGUAAGAUUUCAAACUUAUUAAAUAAAUGGCCCAUAGGACAUUUGGGGGAAUGUCUCAAAAAAGAAAAAUGUAAAUAGAAUCUACAUAUAAAAGUGAUCAAUUUAACAAGCUUUAAGGGGAAGGCAAAGUAAAACAAUAUGAUGUAAUUUGCAGCCACCAGACCGGCAAAAAUAUUCAAAUAUUGAUAAUAUCCAGUUUUAGCAAGAAAGAAUGUGGGGAAAAAUUAGCAAUGAAAUAGUUAUGAAAGUACUUUGGCAAUAUUUGGCAUAUGUUCUGAUCCCACAAUCCUGCUUCUAGAAAGCAUUUCUGUAAAAAUAAGAGCACAGAUUAGGACACACAUUUACAGCCUGUGCUAUAUGAACAAAGCUGAAAUUAACUGGGACUACCGAAUAAAUAAAAUACAUUAUAUUUGCAAAAUAUAUAAUUCAUAGCUAAUAUGACAUUUUAAUUUUUAUAUAAAAAUAUAUUUUUAUAUCUGCCCAUAUGCAUAUGCAUGCAUGCAUACCCAGACAUGUGUAUACACACAUUUACAUACCUGGAAGGAUGUUCCCGAUGUGUUAAAUGGAAAGAGCUAGUUGAAGGGUAGAAUAAAUGAUAUGAUAACGUUUUUGUUUCUAGAGAAGGGAAAGAUACUCUAUAUGAACAUAUAUUUAUAUUGUUGUUGGAAAAAUUUAAAAGUUGUGGGAAAAUCCCCACAAACUGCCAUCAUUGGCUCACUUGGGAAAGUAGAGGUGGAAAGGCAGUGAGCUAUGAUUAGUUUAUAUACCUUGGUGUUAUUUCAGUUUUACAACAAACAUAUAUUACUUUUUGUAAUAUAGGAAACUAUAGGUUUGUAACUAGGAAAAUAUAUAUAAAUUUCAAGAGGACAGAUUUCAGAUUAAUAUGAAUAAUUUUCUAAUAGGCAGGAUUAUUUGGAUUUAGCGAGGGCUCUUCAAGGGGUCACUAGUCUUUCUUAAUUGUGAGCGGUCAAGCAUAAGUUAGAUGAGGACAGUGUUAGGAAGGAGAUUCUGGUAUAAGAUGCAAAGUUGGACAAUGUAGCCUCAUUGGUCUUUUUAAAUUAUGACAUGCCAGGCUUCUACAAAGUCCACAUUUCAAGGCGUUUCUGCGUUUGGCCAAAUGAGAUGCUAGACUCUCAUUUCAAUGCAUUUUUGCGUCUUUAUUUACUUCAAAUUAGUAAGAAAUGUUGAAACCUAGAGUCAUCCUAAACUAUUUCUUUAGCUCUGAUCCCCCCUCAAGCAGCAAACAAAAUUACAACACAAUGUUGUAAGUGCUAUUCUGAAGAUGUGCUUUGCAAGGUGACUCUAAGCCAGCCUAGAAGUGGAGGGAUCAAGGAAGGGUUGCUGGAAGAGGUGACACCUGAGCUGAGUCUUAAAGGAUGUUUUCUCAAGGCUCACCUCCUCUGCAGAGUGCAGACCUCCACGUCGCUGCACUUUGCACACGUCUCCAUGAUCGCUUGCAUUGCACUAAUUGUCUUUGAUAUGUAUCUUCCUUCCUAGUUUCUAAAUUGCUAGGGAGAAACUAUGAGUUUUAUUUAUCAUUACACCUCAGCCAUGACUGCAUGACUAGCAGAACAUUCAAUAAAUAUUUAUAGAAUCGAUUGGUUUUCAUUUUAGUUCAUAACUCACAGACGUAGUGAAGGACAUCCAUUCUUAUGAAUUCUCAUGAUGAACAUUAAUUCACAGCACAGUUCUGCAUCUGCUUUUGAGUUUGUUGUUGUUGUUGUUGUUGUUGUUGUUUUGAGACAGAGUCUCACUGUCACCCAGGUUUGAGUGCCAUGGCACGAUCUUGGCUCACUGUAACCUCCACCUCCCGGGUUCAAGCGAUUCUCCUGCCUCAGACCCAAGUAGCUGAGAUUGCAGACGUGCGCCACCAAGCUCGGUUAAGUUUUGUAUUUUUAGUAGAGACAGGGUCUCACUAUGUUGGCCAGGCUGGUCUCAAACUCCUGACCUCAGGUGAUCGGCCCGCCUCGGCCUCCCAAAGUGCUGGGAUUACAGGCAUGAGCCAAUACGCCCGGCCUAUUUUUGAGAUUUUCUGCUGCUACUCCAGCUUAGCCUGACAGAGCUUUCACUUUUUGUUCCUACCCCUUCGUGUGCAUCUGAACAAUCCACAAGCCUCACGAACUCCUGUGGCUUCCCUCCCUUCGAGCUGUAUCCACCAUGACCUCUUGACCAGGGCUGAGGGAGAAGGAGGAGGGUCGUGCCACUAUCCUAGCACCCUCUGUCAAGAGCCACAGUCAUCAGAACCAUGGAGUGACUGACUGGGUGCUGCAAAAUGCUUAGAAUGUCACCAGAAGCAAUGAGAGGAUGUCCAAAUACAGUGGUACUGGGAAUUCCAGUCCUUGGAGUCUAUCAUGAUAAUUUGUCAUGCUGUUUUAUCUUAAGAGUGGCUCAAGAAAACGGACUUGCAAGGAAGCCCAAAAGGAGGGAGCCAGACCCUUUGGGAAGCAGCAACAACCAACCAGAGCGGCGCCACACUGUCCCACCCACUUUAGGAAAACUUCACCAGAAACAAACCAAGAAAAACCAGAGUUCCUAGACAUAUCCAGGUUUCCUAAGCUUUUCAUCUAGAAUAUUGUUCGUUUUAGGUUAUAACUGUCGCUAUGUGUUCUCUAGCUAUUUGGGUCAACAAAACCAAAUUAGUAAUGAAAACCUGACAUGGAUUUGGGGGUUCUGACCAGACACUCUGUACUGUAUCAGGCAAGGAUUUAACAAUGCAACUUAAAUUUAAGAGACUAUUUAUAGUUACACAUGUACUUUCUUCAUAAGGUUGUCUUAUAGGUUUAAGCAUAGAACAAAAUUUCAGGCACCAGAACUGGCCCAGAGAAUUCUCCCUGUGUUUUGCAAAGAGGUAUCAAUUUGUAAUUUCUUUUUAUCAGUGUUGUAAUUUUAAUAAAAUAUGAGAGUUUAUAAAAAAACAUGCAAUCCAAACCUAAGUAAGGGUAUAACAAACACAAACUAAGCAAAGAAAUAGAGAACUUAAAUUUGGUGGUUUUUUUUUUUUUUUUUUGCUUGUUUUUUUCUUUUUAACCUAG